rnacentral:rRNA from 1 species
UACGUAGGGCGCAAGCGUUGUCCGGAAUUAUUGGGCGUAAAGAGCUCGUAGGCGGCUUGUCACGUCGGAUGUGAAAGCCCGGGGCUUAACCCCGGGUCGGCAGUGGAUACGGGCAGGCUAGAGGUAGGUAGGGGAGAAUGGAAUUCCCGGUGUAGCGGUGAAAUGCGCAGAUAUCGGGAGGAACACCGGUGGCGAAGGCGGGUCUCUGGGCCGAAACUGACGCUGAGGAGCGAAAGCGUGGGGAGCGAACAGG